GGGGUCGUCGGCUAGCUUGGUUAGGCUUUGUGCCUAGGGCGCACAAGACCCGCGUUCAAAGGGCAAUCGUUUGCCUGGAAAUCGCGGCGACCCCG
rnacentral:tRNA from 1 species